CGGGGGAGUACGUGUGCCGGGUGACCCUGGGGACUGUCACGCAGGAGGCAUCUGUCAUUGUCACCGUGCCCGGCGGUGCCGGCACCUAUUACCCCUCCGGCGUCUCCCAGCCCCUCCGCAUCGAGUCCUCGUCCUCGGCCAUCGCCGAGGGACAGACCCUGGACCUCAACUGCGUGGUGGCAGGAUCCGGCCCUGCCACCGUGACGUGGUACAAGCGCGGUGGCUCCCUGCCCGCUGGUCACCAGGUGUCGGGCACCCGCCUGCGCAUCCCCCAGGUGACGGCGGCCGAUUCAGGGGGGGACGUGU